CGGGGUGCAGCAGGCGCGAAACCUCUGCAAUAGGCGAAAGCCUGACAGGGUUACUCUGAGUGACUUUCGUUAAGAGAGUCUUUUGGCACCUCUAAAAAGGGUGUAGAAUAAGGGGUGGGCAAGUCUGGUGUCAGCCGCCGCGGUAAUACCAGCACCCCGAGUGGUCGGGACGAUUAUUGGGCCUAAAGCAUCCGUAGCCGGUUCUGCAAGUCCUCCGUUAAAUCCAACUGCUUAACAGAUGGGCCGCGGAGGAUACUACAGAGCUAGGAGGCAGGAGAGGCAAGCGGUACUCAGUGGGUAGGGGUAAAAUCCGUUGAUCCAUUGAAGACCACCAGUGGCGAAGGCGGCUUGCCAGAAUGCGCUCGACGGUGAGGGAUGAAAGCUGGGGGAGCAAACCGGAUUAGAUACCCGGGUAGUCCCAGCCGUAAACGAUGCAGACUCGGUGAUGGGUUGGCUUCGUGCUAACCCAGUGCCGCAGGGAAGCCGUUAAGUCUGCCGCCUGGGUAGUACGGUCGCAAGACUGAAACUUAAAGGAAUUGGCGGGGGAGCAAAGGGCGAA
rnacentral:rRNA from 1 species